AUUGAACGCUGGCGGCAGGCCUAACACAUGCAAGUCGAGCGAGAGGCGGACGGGGGAGAAAUGUCUGGGAAAAAGCCUGAUGGAGGGGGAUAACAACAGGAAAAGGUGGCUAAUACCGCAUACCAUCAGAUGUGCCCAGAUGGGAUAAGCGAGUGGGUGGGGGCAUGGCGCACCUAGGCGACGAUCCCGAGCUGGUCUGAGAGGAUGACCAGCCACACUGGAACUGAGACACGGUCCAGACUCCUACGGGAGGCAGCAGUGGGGAAUCUUGCACAAUGGGCGCAAGCCUGAUGCAGCCAUGCCGCGUGUAUGAAGAAGGCCUUCGGGUUGUAAAGUACUUUCAGCGGGUAGGCGUUACCCGCAGAAGAAGCACCGGCUAACUCCGUGCCAGCCGCCGCGGUAAUUC
rnacentral:rRNA from 1 species